rnacentral:tRNA from 1 species
UAGAAAAUUUAUAUUAAGAACUGUUAAUUCUUGAUCGUAUGAGAGUUCAUACUUUUCUAG